rnacentral:lncRNA from 1 species
UAGAAGUGUACAGGAGCCUCUAAUGGUUAAUAGCGCUGAAUAAAUUAUAGAUUCCAUAAUAUGCAAAAUUGUAAUGCUUAUUUAAGAAAAAUCAAAAUACAACUCACCAUAUAGCGAAGGAACUAUAAUUGUACAAGUUAUUUAAAAAUCAAUUCAUAUUUUCCAGGAAGAAAAUAGUACAACGUAUACAUAAAAAAAAAUAGUGAAAGAACGAACCAUUAACGAACAAACAAGUACAUGUAUAACAGCAAAUGCAGCUCCAUUUCUAUGCCCCAAGUCUGUGUCAUUUUAAAUUGUUGAUAGUUGGAAACU